rnacentral:lncRNA from 13 species
GAUCUGCUCAUGGAGUAUCUGACUGGGGUUCUCUGCAUUUCUGGAAUUUGAAGUUGAACUGUCUUGUUAUGUUGGGGAAGUUCUCAUGGAUGAUAUCCUGACAUAUAUUUUUCAAAUUGGUUCCAUUCUCUCCAUCUCUUACAGGGACAACAAUCAGUCAUAGAUUUGGUCUGUUUACAUAAACCCAUAUUUUUUAUUAUUUUCAUUUGUAUUCAAUUUUCCUCUAUUCUUGUUUGCCUGGCUUAUUUCAGAAAGACAGUCUUUGUGUUCUGAGAUUCUUUCUUUCUCUUGGUCUAUUUUGCUAUUAAUACCUUGUGAUUGCAUUAUGACAUUCUUGUAGUAUGUUUUUCAGCUCUAUCAGGUUGGUUACAUUCUUCUCUAUACUGGCUAUUUUGUUUCUGAGCUCUUUUGAUGUUUUAUUCUAAUUUUUAGCUUCUUUGCAUUUUAUAUAGUGUUCAAAUCCAGCAGCAAACAAUGGCAUCCUACCUGAAUUCUAAAAACUGUUUACCUUACUAAACGAGCUUCAUUUAUUUACGUGAGCAGCCAACUUCUUACUCCAGCAGCGGUUAGUGAGCAAACCGACCAUUCUCAUUUCUAGCCAUUCUUAGCCUCAGCCCAGUCCUAAACCCUUGAUGGAGAGAUGAUGUGGUCGUUUGGAGGAAGGAGGGCACCCUGGCUUUUUGAGUCUGGCCACUCUUCAGUAGAGCUGCUGCAGUUUGUUGGGGGUCCACUCCAGUUCCUAGUUACCCUCGAUUUUCCAGUACCUGGAAGUAUCGCCAGUGAAGGCUUUGAAAUAGCAAAGAUGGUAGCCUGUCUCUUCUACUGGGAUCACCAUCCCAGGGAGAUACAGAUUGUUGCUGGUCCCAAUGCACCUGCAGGAAGUGAUUGAAGACCCUGGUUCAGAGUUCUCACCCAGUCAGAAGAAAUGGAAUUGGGAACCCUCUCAAAGAAGCUCACUGGAUAUGCUUUUGUCAAACAGAUGUGUUGCACUGGAGUACCGCUUCUGUCCCCGGUUGUCUUGGGCUCUCCAAAGCCUGGGGGCUGGAAUACCUACAUUUUCCAAACAGCGAAGAUGGCAGCCUCCCCAUCUCUUUGGAAUCUCCAUCCCAGGAAAUUUGCAAAUCUCUGUAGGCAAGAGAACAGUGGUGGGGAUGGCUGGAGGCCCUGGUUGGAAGGUCCCACUCAGUGAGGAGGAAUGGAUCAGGGACCUGCUUAAAGAAGCAGUCUGGCCACGUUUUAGGAGAGCAACUCUUCUGUGCUGGGGGAUCCUUUCAGCCCUCGGUCAGUUUGGACGCUUCAAAGCCCACAGGCUGGAAGAGCUGAGUCAUCUAAACAGUAAAGCUGGCAGUCUACCCUUUCUCCCAGGAACUUUGUCACAGGCUCUCAUUCUUCUCCUUCCUGCCACCACAUGAAGAAGGAUGUGUUUGCUUCGCCUUCCACCAUGAUCGUGAGAUUCCUGAAGCCUCUCCAGCCUAGCAGAACUGUAAGUCAAUUAAACCUUUUUUUAUUUAAAAUUUACUCAGACUUGGCAGUUCUUUAAAGCUGUGUGAGAAUAGAUUGAUACAGUAAAUUGGUACUGGUAGAAUGGAGUGCUGUCAUAAAAAUUCAUGAAAAUAUGGAAGCAACUUUGGAAGUGGCUAACAGGCUGAGGUUGGAAGAAUUUGGAGGGCUCAGAAGAAGGCUGGAAAAUGUGGGAAAGUUUGUAACUUUCUAGAGACUUGGAGGGCUAGGAAGAUAGGAAGAUGUGGAAAAGUUUGAAACUUCUUAGACACUUGUUGAAUGGCUUUCACCAAAAUGCUGAUAGUGAUAUGCACAAUGAAGUCCAGGCUGAGGUGGUCUUAGAUGGAGAUGAGGAACGUGUUAGGAACUGUAGUAAAGGUUACUUUUGCUCUUCAAAGAGACUAGCGGCAUUUUGCCCUUGCCCUAGAGAUCUGUGAAAUUUUGAACUUGAGAGAGGUGAUUGAGGGUUGCUGGUGGAAGAAAUGUCUAAGCAGCAAAGUGUUCCAGAGGAAGCAGAUCAUAAAAAUUUGAGGCCGGGUGCGGUGGCUCAAGCCUGUAAUCCUAGCACUUUGGGAGGCCGAGGCGGGUGGAUCACGAGGUCAACAGAUCAAGACCAUCCUGGUCAACAUGGUGAAACCCCGUCUCUACUAAAAAUACAGAAAAUUAGCUGGGCAUGGUGGCGCGUGCCUGUAAUCCCAGCUACUCGGGUGGCUGAAGCAGGAAAAUUGCCUGAACCCAGGAGGCGGAGGUUGCGGUGAGCCGAGAUCGCGCCAUUGCACUCCAGCCUGGGUAACAAGAGCGAAACUCCAUCUCAAAAAGAAAUUUUUUUUUUUUCGAAAAAUUUUCAGCCUGAUGAUGCAGUAGUAAAGAAAACUCUAUUUUCUGGGGAGAAAUUCAAGUUGGCUGCAACAAUUUUUGCAAGUAAUGAGGAGCCGGUUAAUCACCAAGACAAUGGAGAAAAUGUCUCCAGGGCAUGUCAGAGACUUUCAUGGCAGGCCCUCCCUUCACAGGUCUGGAUGCCUAGGAAAGAAAAAUGGUUUCUGGACUGGGUCCCAGGGCCCAUGACAUGAAUGUGAACCAUGGAAUCUACAGAGAUUAUUUUGGAACUUUAAGAUUUAAUUAUUGCCUCAUUGGAUUUCAGUAUGCAUGGGGCCUGUGGCCCCUUUGUUUCAGUCACUUUCUUUCAUUUGGAAUGGGUGUAUUUACCCCAUGCCUGUACCCCCAUUCCCCAUUGUUUCUAGGAAGUAACAACUUGCCUUUGAUUUUACAGACUCAUAGGUAGAAGGAAGUUGCCUUGUCUCAGAUGAAACUUUGGACUGUGGACUUUUGGGUUAGUGCUAGAAUAAACUAUGACGUUGGGGGACUCUUGGAAAGGCA